GGGGGGGACGGAGAAGGUUAGGUCAGCCGGGUGUUGGACGUCCCGGUUCAAGCGUGUAGGCAGACCUCUUAGGCAAAUCCGGGGGGUCAAUGCUGAGGCGUGAUAACGAGUGGUCUUGUACCGCGAAGUGAUUGAUACCAUGCUUCCAGGAAAAGCCUCUAAGCUUCAGUUACAAGGAGACCGUACCGCAAACCGACACAGGUGGGCAGGAUGAAAAUUCUAAGGCGCUUGAGAGAACUCAGGAGAAGGAACUCGGCAAAUUUGCACCGUAACUUCGGGAAAAGGUGCGCCCUGAUAGGUUGUAGCCCCUCGCGGGUGAAGGCUGAAAGGGUUGCAGUGAAAUGGUGGCUGCGACUGUUUAAUAAAAACACAGCACUCUGCAAACACGAAAGUGGACGUAUAGGGUGUGACGCCUGCCCGGUGCCGGAAGGUUAAGUGAUGGGGUGCAAGCUCUUGUUCGAAGCCCCGGUAAACGGCGGCCGUAACGAUAACGGUCCUAAGGUAGCGAAAUUCCUUGUCGGGUAAGUUCCGACCUGCACGAAUGGCGUAACGAUGGCCACACUGUCUCCUCCUGAGACUCAGCGAAGUUGAAGUGGUUGUGAAGAUGCAAUCUCCCCGCGGUUAGACGGAAAGACACCAUGAACCUUUACUGUAGCUUUGCAUUGGACUUUGAACCGACUUGUGUAGGAUAGGUGGGAGGCUGUGAAGCCGGGACGCUAGUUCUGGUGGAGCCAACCUUGAAAUACCACCCUGGUUUGUUUGAGGUUCUAACCACGGCCCGUGAAUCCGGGUCUGGGACCGUGCAUGGUAGGCAGUUUGACUGGGGCGGUCUCCUCCUAAAGUGUAACGGAGGAGUACGAAGGUACGCUAGGUACGGUCGGACAUCGUGCUAAUAGUGCAAUGGCAAAAGCGUGCUUGACUGCGAGACCCACACGUCGAGCAGGUACGAAAGUAGGUCAUAGUGAUCCGGUGGUUCUGUAUGGAAGGGCCAUCGCUCAACGGAUAAAGGUACUCUGGGGAUAACAGGCUAAUACCGCCCAAGAGUUCAUAUCGACGGCGGUGUUUGGCACCUCGAUGUCGGCUCAUCACAUCCUGGGGCUGUAGUCGGUCCCAAGGGUAUGGCUGUUCGCCAUUUAAAGUGGUACGUGAGCUGGGUUUAAAACGUCGUGAGACAGUUUGGUCCCUAUCUGCCGUGGGCGCUGGAAAUUUGAAGGGGGCUGCUCCUAGUACGAGAGGACCGGAGUGGACGAACCUCUGGUGUACCGGUUAUGACGCCAGUCGUAUUGCCGGGUAGCUAAGUUCGGAAGAGAUAAACGCUGAAAGCAUCUAAGCGUGAAACUCGCCUUAAGAUGAGAUUUCCCUGGGGACUUGAUCCCCCUGAAGGGUCGUGGUAGACACCACGUUGAUAGGCUGGGUGUGGAAGCGCAGCAAUGCGUUAAGCUAACCAGUACUAAUUGCCCGUGAGGCUUGAUCCU
rnacentral:rRNA from 1 species